rnacentral:tRNA from 1 species
GCCCGGUUAGCUCAAUCGGUAGAGCGUGAGACUCUUAAUCCCAAGGUUAAUCUCAAGGUUGCGGGUUCGACCCCCGCAUCGGGCU